GGGUUGUGAGGUUAAGCGACUAAGCGUACACGGUGGAUGCCCUGGCAGUCAGAGGCGAUGAAGGACGUGCUAAUCUGCGAUAAGCGCCGGUAAGGUGAUAUGAACCGUUAUAACCGGCGAUUUCCGAAUGGGGAAACCCAGUGUGAUUCGUCACACUAUCAUUAACUGAAUCCAUAGGUUAAUGAGGCGAACCGGGGGAACUGAAACAUCUAAGUACCCCGAGGAAAAGAAAUCAACCGAGAUUCCCCCAGUAGCGGCGAGCGAACGGGGAGGAGCCCAGAGCCUGAAUCAGCAUGUGUGUUAGUGGAAGCGUCUGGAAAGGUGCGCGAUACAGGGUGACAGCCCCGUACACAAAAGCGCAUGUGCUGUGAGCUCGAUGAGUAGGGCGGGACACGUGGUAUCCUGUCUGAAUAUGGGGGGACCAUCCUCCAAGGCUAAAUACUCCUGACUGACCGAUAGUGAACCAGUACCGUGAGGGAAAGGCGAAAAGAACCCCGGCGAGGGGAGUGAAAAAGAACCUGAAACCGUGUACGUACAAGCAGUGGGAGCCCCACCACCAAAGCAUUCUCUGGUGUUGAAGGCCCUGCAAAGCAGCAUCGCGGUGGCGGAGCGUCGUUUGCGACGCCCAACACACAAAACAAGCGGUGAAUGCUUUGGGGUGGGGUGACUGCGUACCUUUUGUAUAAUGGGUCAGCGACUUAUAUUCUGUAGCAAGGUUAACCGAAUAGGGGAGCCGGAGGGAAACCGAGUCUUAAUUGGGCGUUAAGUUGCAGGGUAUAGACCCGAAACCCGGUGAUCUAGCCAUGGGCAGGUUGAAGGUUGGGUAACACUAACUGGAGGACCGAACCGACUAAUGUUGAAAAAUUAGCGGAUGACCUGUGGCUGGGGGUGAAAGGCCAAUCAAACCGGGAGAUAGCUGGUUCUCCCCGAAAGCUAUUUAGGUAGCGCCUCGUGAAUUCAUCUCCGGGGGUAGAGCACUGUUUCGGCUAGGGGGCCAUCCCGGCUUACCAACCCGAUGCAAACUGCGAAUACCGGAGAAUGUUAUCACGGGAGACACACGGCGGGUGCUAACGUCCGUCGUGAAGAGGGAAACAACCCAGACCGCCAGCUAAGGUCCCAAAGUCAUGGUUAAGUGGGAAACGAUGUGGGAAGGCCCAGACAGCCAGGAUGUUGGCUUAGAAGCAGCCAUCAUUUAAAGAAAGCGUAAUAGCUCACUGGUCGAGUCGGCCUGCGCGGAAGAUGUAACGGGGCUAAACCAUGCACCGAAGCUGCGGCAGCGAACGUAUCACUUAAAGCGAUUCAGCGGGUUACGAUUGACGGAGCGAAGCGACGUCAAAGCGUAUACAAAGUCGAGUCGGUUUAAGGAUACGUUCGUUGGGUAGGGGAGCGUUCUGUAAGCCCGUGAAGGUGGCCUGUGAGGGUUGCUGGAGGUAUCAGAAGUGCGAAUGCUGACAUAAGUAACGAUAAAGCGGGUGAAAAGCCCGCUCGCCGGAAGACCAAGGGUUCCUGUCCAACGUUAAUCGGGGCAGGGUGAGUCGACCCCUAAGGCGAGGCCGAAAGGCGUAGUCGAUGGGAAACGGGUUAAUAUUCCCGUACUUGGUGUUACUGCGAAGGGGGGACGGAGAAGGCUAUGUUGGCCGGGCGACGGUUGUCCCGGUUUAAGCGUGUAGGUGUGUGUUCCAGGUAAAUCCGGUUCACUUUAACACUGAGGCGUGAUGACGAGGCACUACGGUGCUGAAGCAACAAAUGCCCUGCUUCCAGGAAAAGCCUCUAAGCAUCAGGUAACAUCAAAUCGUACCCCAAACCGACACAGGUGGUCAGGUAGAGAAUACCAAGGCGCUUGAGAGAACUCGGGUGAAGGAACUAGGCAAAAUGGUGCCGUAACUUCGGGAGAAGGCACGCUGACACGUAGGUGAAGUGAUUUACUCACGGAGCUGAAGUCAGUCGAAGAUACCAGCUGGCUGCAACUGUUUAUUAAAAACACAGCACUGUGCAAACACGAAAGUGGACGUAUACGGUGUGACGCCUGCCCGGUGCCGGAAGGUUAAUUGAUGGGGUCAGCGCAAGCGAAGCUCCUGAUCGAAGCCCCGGUAAACGGCGGCCGUAACUAUAACGGUCCUAAGGUAGCGAAAUUCCUUGUCGGGUAAGUUCCGACCUGCACGAAUGGCGUAAUGAUGGCCAGGCUGUCUCCACCCGAGACUCAGUGAAAUUGAACUCGCUGUGAAGAUGCAGUGUACCCGCGGCAAGACGGAAAGACCCCGUGAACCUUUACUAUAGCUUGACACUGAACAUUGAGCCUUGAUGUGUAGGAUAGGUGGGAGGCUUUGAAGUGUGGACGCCAGUCUGCAUGGAGCCGACCUUGAAAUACCACCCUUUAAUGUUUGAUGUUCUAACGUGGACCCGUAAUCCGGGUUGCGGACAGUGUCUGGUGGGUAGUUUGACUGGGGCGGUCUCCUCCUAAAGAGUAACGGAGGAGCACGAAGGUUGGCUAAUCCUGGUCGGACAUCAGGAGGUUAGUGCAAUGGCAUAAGCCAGCUUGACUGCGAGCGUGACGGCGCGAGCAGGUGCGAAAGCAGGUCAUAGUGAUCCGGUGGUUCUGAAUGGAAGGGCCAUCGCUCAACGGAUAAAAGGUACUCCGGGGAUAACAGGCUGAUACCGCCCAAGAGUUCAUAUCGACGGCGGUGUUUGGCACCUCGAUGUCGGCUCAUCACAUCCUGGGGCUGAAGUAGGUCCCAAGGGUAUGGCUGUUCGCCAUUUAAAGUGGUACGCGAGCUGGGUUUAGAACGUCGUGAGACAGUUCGGUCCCUAUCUGCCGUGGGCGCUGGAGAACUGAGGGGGGCUGCUCCUAGUACGAGAGGACCGGAGUGGACGCAUCACUGGUGUUCGGGUUGUCAUGCCAAUGGCACUGCCCGGUAGCUAAAUGCGGAAGAGAUAAGUGCUGAAAGCAUCUAAGCACGAAACUUGCCCCGAGAUGAGUUCUCCCUGAGACUUAGAGUCUCCUGAAGGAACGUUGAAGACGACGACGUUGAUAGGCCGGGUGUGUAAGCGCAGCGAUGCGUUGAGCUAACCGGUACUAAUGAACCGUGAGGCUUAACCUUACAACGCCGAAG
rnacentral:rRNA from 1 species